GUGGCAGAACCUGCGGGCUAGGUGGGAGGCUCACCCUCGCGGAGGAGAGGAAGCGAGGACCGCACGGCUGGGGAGCGAGGAGACGUGUGGAGUCCGGGGCUCGGGCCGCCUCCACCUCCUCCUGCGGCGGACGCGGCGCGGCGGGCGGCGCACCGGCCGCGUCGGCUACCCUGCGCGCAGGGGGAAGGAGGACAGUGGCUCGAGGAGACUGGAUUUUCUUGGAUUUGCGGCAACUCUGAAAACCCGAGCAGGCUUCCCGGGCGUUAAAGUGAAUCGCGGGUGGCAGUGUGGAAGCCAAAACGGGGGCUUCCAGAAGUGAUUGCUGAAAAAUAGGAGUGAAUAUACGCGAGUAAGCUAGUACUGGAAUCAAAAAAACCACAGUAAGCUUUACACCCAGGAUGGGCUUGAACUCAUGACCUCGAGAUCAAGAGUGUUACAUGCUCUACCGACUAAGCCAUCCAGAGGGAGAAACUGAGUCCUGAAAGGUUGUGACAUUCUUGAAGUUAUACAAAGAAGUAGCAUACAGCUCAUCUUGAAGUAAUAUGAGAGCAGCCUCUAGUUGAUUGGCACCCUCUUCAAGAGAAAUACUUUUGCUCAGCUUGGAAAAGCGCCUCGUGUGAUCUGGAACAAAGACAUUUUAUAAUCAGAUUUAUCAAGCUGUGAAGAGGGAGUUUUAGCGAACGGAAGCAGCAGCAUUCUGUCACCAGGAAGUACUGCUUUAUCCAGAAUUGGUAAGUGAAAAGUGGCAUCGUUCCCUAAUAGAUAUCAUAUGGUGUCUGUGGGAAUUGUGAAAUUGUUCACAGACCCCUAACAACUGUGUUGAACCAGAGAACAUAUAAACAGAGUGAGGAAUUCUAGAAAAAAGUAGCCCAAGAAUAUAGCAUAAAGUCUGAGAAGAAGCCUGGUUAUUAACAAAGAUGAGUUGGGCUCUACCAGUUUAGACUAAUACAUGUAAUAGAACGUGUUGACUUUCCCCCUCCUUUUUCUUUUUAGUGGGGAGGGACAAAUAAAAUGGGUUGUUUGGUAGACCUGGGGCAUUGACAUUCCAUGGGUAUGGAUUUCCAUUUAGUCUGAAUAGGAUGUGUAAUACUUGAAGGGAUGCUUUCAGAAUUACUCAGCUCACACUAUCUCUCCCUCUACCCCAAGAUGUCCAGCAUUUAGUUAGAACUCUACAAAAUGAAAGUUUAAGUAAUGCAUUGGAAACAUUUCCUACCGAUCAUGAAGGGCAGAUUAAGCUGGUAAUAGACUUUUUUACAUUUGUGUCAUGAAUUUUAAGAUUGUUCUAUUUGGUUACAAUUGGUACAGCAAAAGGGUGGAUAUUUCUAAAUAGACCGUCAUGUUCCAAGAGACUGUGAUGAUCAGUUCUUACUGGUGUACAUGUGUUUGUCUGUCUCUUCUCUGAAACAAAUUCAGUUUUGUAAUCUUGAUUCUGGGCUGCCCUAAUGUUUCAAA